rnacentral:rRNA from 1 species
AGUGAACGCUGGCGGUAGGCCUAACACAUGCAAGUCGAACGGCAGCACAGUAAGAGCUUGCUCUUACGGGUGGCGAGUGGCGGACGGGUGAGGAAUACAUCGGAAUCUACUUUUUCGUGGGGGAUAACGUAGGGAAACUUACGCUAAUACCGCAUACGACCUACGGGUGAAAUCAGGGGAUCUUCGGACCUUGCGCGAUUGAAUGAGCCGAUGUCGGAUUAGCUAGUUGGCGGGGUAAGGGCACACCAAGGCGACGAUCCGUAGCUGGUCUGAGAGGAUGAUCAGCCACACUGGAACUGAGACACGGUCCAGACUCCUACGGGAGGCAGCAGUGGGGAAUAUUGGACAAUGGGCGCAAGCCUGAUCCAGCCAUGCCGCGUGGGUGAAGAAGGCCUUCGGGUUGUAAAGCCCUUUUGUUGGGAAAGAAAAGAAGCAGGUUAAUACCCCGCUGUUCUGACGGUACCCAAAGAAUAAGCACCGGCUAACUUCGUG